rnacentral:rRNA from 1 species
GAUGAACGCUGGCGGCGUGCCUAAUACAUGCAAGUCGAGCGAAUGGAUUGAGAGCUUGCUCUUAUGAAGUUAGCGGCGGACGGGUGAGUAACACGUGGGUGACCUGCCCAUAAGACUGGGAUAACUCCGGGAAACCGGGGCUAAUACCGGAUAACAUUUUGAACCGCAUGGUUCGAACUUGAAGGACGGCUUCGGCUGUCACUUAUGGCUGGACCCGCGUCGCAUUAGUUAGUUGGUGAGGUAACGGCUCACCAAGGCAACGAUGCGUAGCCGACCUGAGAGGGUGGACGGCCACACUGGGACUGAGACACGGCCCAGACUCCUACUGGAGGCAGCAGUAGGGAAUCUUCCGCAAUGGACGAAAGUCUGACGGAGCAACGCCGCGUAAGUGAUGAAGGCUUUCGGGUCGUAAAACUCUGUUGUUAGGGAAGAACAAGUGCUAGUUGAAUAAGCUGGCACCUUGACGGUACCUAACCAGAAAGCCACGGCUAACUACGUGCCAGCAGCCGCGGUAA